AGAGUUUGAUCAUGGCUCAGGAUGAACGCUGGCGAGAUGCUUUACACAUGCAAGUCGUACGAGAGUUUUAAACUCAAGUGGCGGACGGGUGAGUAACACGUAAGAAUUUACCUUUAGGAGGGGGAUAACAGACAGAAAUGACUGCUAAUACCCCAUAUGCUUUCGAGUGAAAUGGAUUUUUCCGCCUAGAGAGAAGCCUAUGUCAGAUUAGCUAGUUGGUAAGGUAAGAGCUUACCAAGGCGACGAUCUGUAGCCGGCCUGAGAGGGUGGACGGCCACACUGGGACUGAGACACGGCCCAGACUCCUACGGGAGGCAGCAGUAGGGAAUAUUGGACAAUGGGCGCAAGCCUGAUCCAGCAAUGCCGCGUGUGUGAAGAAGGCCUGCGGGUUGUAAAGCACUUUCAGCAAGGAAGAAAUGCUUAGGGUUAAUAGCCUUGAGAGUUGACGUUACUUGCAGAAGAAGCACCGGCUAACUCUGUGCCAGCAGCCGCGGUAAUACAGAGGGUGCGAGCGUUAAUCGGAAUUACUGGGCGUAAAGCGUGCGUAGGCGGCUAUUUAAGUCUGAUGUGAAAUCCCCGUGCUUAACAUGGGAAUUGCAUCGGAUACUGGGUAGCUAGAGUAUGGUAGAGGAGAGUGGAAUUUCUAGUGUAGCGGUGAAAUGCGUAGAUAUUAGAAGGAACACCAGUGGCGAAGGCGACUCUCUGGACUAAUACUGACACUGAGGCGCGAAAGCGUGGGGAGCAAACAGGAUUAGAUACCCUGGUAGUCCACGCCGUAAACGAUGAGAACUAGCUGUUGGGUGGGCAUGUCCCUUUAGUGUCGAAGCUAACGCGUUAAGUUCUCCGCCUGGGGAGUACGGCCGCAAGGUUAAAACUCAAAGGAAUUGACGGGGGCCCGCACAAGCGGUGGAGCAUGUGGUUUAAUUCGAUGCAACGCGAAAAACCUUACCUGCCCUUGACAUCCUCAGAACUUGUCAGAAAUGACUUGGUGCCUUCGGGAGCCGAGUGACAGGUGCUGCAUGACUGUCGUCAGCUCGUGUCGUGAGAUGUUGGGUUAAGUCCCGUAACGAGCGCAACCCUUGUCCUUAGUUGCCAGCACGUAAUGGUGGGAACUCUAGGGAGACUGCCGGCUCAAACCGGAGGAAGGUGUGGACGACGUCAAGUCAUCAUGGCCCUUACGGGCAGGGCUACACACGUGCUACAAUGGUCAGUACAGACGGUCGCGAACCCGCAAGGGGAAGCCAAUCUGACAAAGCUGAUCGUAGUCCGGAUCGGAGUCUGCAACUCGACUCCGUGAAGUCGGAAUCGCUAGUAAUCGCAGAUCAGAACGCUGCGGUGAAUACGUUCCCGGGCCUUGUACACACCGCCCGUCA
rnacentral:rRNA from 1 species